CCUUGAGUCGAGGCACAGCAGCUUUCCCGUCACCUCCAGCGCCGCCUGCGCGGCCGAGCGCAACAGCGGCAGUUCUAUGGUGACCACCAGCUCAUGGGGGUCUUGGCAUUCCUGCGGUCCAGCUUCACGCCGAACUGCUUCUCGACUGCCUCCAGGGCCGUAGCGUCCAGCAUCUGGCGGAAGCCCUCGUGCCGCCGGGCCAGCGCUAGCGCGUCUGGAUGGAAGACCACGUCGUAGACCAUGUAUCGGCUGCUGUUGCGCCCCGCGUACUCACGGCCUGGCGCCAAGCUGUAGGGCAGGGACCAGUGACUGCCAGGAGCUGCUCCCCGGUCGUCAUCGGAGCCGGGCCGGCUGCUGGGCGCGCCCACCAGCGCAUUGCUGCAGACGUUCACGAAGCAGCGCCGUGUCCCGUCCAGGCUGGUGCGCAGCACGUGCCCCGGCUCCGGGUGCACGAACCGCACCUCCACCCCGCGCUCACGCUCUAGCGCGGUGAUCUCCGCCUCGUAGCGCCGCCGGUUCUCCGGGUUGGUGAGCUCCUCGGCGUACUGGGAGAACAUUCGCCGGAACUCCGGGUCCUGGAAGGCGGAGCGUGGAAUAUCAAAUGCUCCUAUGAUAUUGAAAACGUGCUCUCUGAAAAACAUCCCACAAAACACAGACCUGAUUUACUAAAACGUUACUUCAGAGUUACUAGCGGACUCUCUCUCUUGAUGAAGCCAUGUCGGGGGCACACAUGGCAAGCGACUGAGGGUAGCCUCCAGCCAACAGCCUGCAAGGCAAUCAGGAACUGAAUCCUGCCAACAACUGAAUGAGCUUGAAGCGAAUGCUGCCUGGUCAACAUUUGAGAUGAUCCAUCUUGACUGCAACCUUGUGAAAAGACCCUGAAGUUGAGGACCCAACGAAGCCACACCUGAAUUCCUAACCCACAGAAAAUGUGAGAUAAUAAAUGUGUACUGUUUUAGCCUCUAA